rnacentral:sRNA from 1 species
UGAACUCCAUCUUAUGCGAAGCCCUGCGUUUUACGCGGGAGGUUUAUGUAGCAUCUGUGGGGUUUU